ensembl:lncRNA
GAGACACGCAGAGAGAGAGAGAAGCCACAUUCCACCCUUAUCUGUUGUCUUGCACCAAACAGCACCCCGUACUGAGGAGGGAGAGAGAGCGUGUUCUCCUGAAGGAGGGAGAGUCACAGGGAGACACGCAGUGGAUAUUCACAUUAUGGCUAAUUUGUUGUUCUUUAAGUUUAGUUUUUAUUUUGUUUUUUGUCUUCCUAGGACAACAGUAAUGAUAAUCUAAUGCAAUUGGACUAAAGAAGGUGUUGCUAUUAACUAAGUGAUUAUUAUUAUUUUCACACAGGAAAGAAUAAUUGAAUAAAUAUGGAUAUGAUAAAGAUGAGGAUAAUAAUUAAAAAUAUAUACAUAAAGUAAAAACGUAAUCUUGAUAAACUGUACAAUAGGACUACACCAAUUAAAAUAUAGGGUAAAUCUCUUUGGUCAAGGAUGACGGGGAUUAGCGCUACAUCUGCUGGGAAGGGAUCCUACAUGCUAUGUUGUCAAUUUGGAUUCGGAAGUAGUGGGUUUACCUUUCAAAUGCCACUACUGCUGCUGCAACACUUAAAUAAUUUUAGCUCUGAUAAAUGACUUUUUGUUUUAUAGUUUCCCUGAGGUGUAUCUUUUACGCACACACACGCUGCAUAGGGCAGAAGCGGCUGAAGACUCUGUCUCCAUCCCUCCACCUUGCGAUCUAUACCACCAUAUAGGUGGGGAUUGAUCGUAUCCCAGGUACGGCAUCCUGCAAUAAGCCAGUAUGGAAGGCUGGUUAGCCAACGACGGGUAAGAUCCCACCUUGACACCCGGGACGACCUAAGGCAGGCACAGUCACGAUUACCUGGCAGAGUCGCUGUGGGCACUGGCUUACUUGAUCAUGAAGUCACGAGCUGCAACAAUCAUAGGAAGUGCCGGGUGGGAUGUAAGGUGGAGGAGGAACAGGCGUCAGAUAUGUCAGCUCUGGCAGCAGAGGUGGUCUUGGAACAGGGCAUGUCGCAUUUUAUUUAAUUUUUUUUUUUACCUUUGUGGUAUAGAAGCCCACUAACGCAUGUACGUUUUUCGGUUUAGUGCAUGACUUUGGAACAGCGUGGUCUCAGGCGGCUGAUGGUAAACCCACCCAUAUUGGGCUUUGGUUUUGGACACACUGGUUCGAUUUCCCUUCCCAAAAGAUUGGCUUUAAUUUGCUGAUGGUUAAGGUUAGACGUUUCGACGUUGGUUGCACCAACGGCGUUCUUAGAUUUGCUUAUCAUUUAAUGCGCAUGGUUUUGACCAUUGCGCAAGGGGUGAGGUAUUGAGGAGAAUUAAAAAAAAAUAAUAAUAAUAAUAAUAAUAAUAAUUAGAAAACAAGGUUUUUCUUCACCAUACUUGCAAACAAUGAUUGACAUCCAGCUAAAUGAGUGUGAAAUACAGUGUUCAACAGAUGGGUAGAAGCAGUCCCAUCAAAAGACCAAAGUGCGACUACAGUAAUCAAGUUUCUGACUGGAGAAGUCAAGACAAGCAAGAGAAACACAAAGUUCCAGGGCCAGAGGAGGAGCCAGAUGCAGACACGCCCGGAGCCGACCAACUACCCAAGGAUGAUGCAAUCAGAUUUCAUACGGAUGGGUCGGUGGCCAGGGCGCUGGCAGGGUUACAGUCCCUCAGAUUAGAGUUGGCAGAGAGCUCCGGCAUUAAUGACCCCUUCACAGAAUGGAUGGAGAGCCCAAUGAGCGAUGGGUGCUACAGGUGCAGCAGGUGCCAUCCAAGCUUACCUGGGGAUCGAGUAUACACCGGAGAGUUUGGACGAGGGACCACCAGAG